CAGACGCGUGGGCUAACCGCAAGGAGGCAGCCGUCAAAGGUCAAUUCAGUGACUGGGGCG
rnacentral:rRNA from 1 species